GAACUUUUGCGCCGACAACUGGGGAAAGCAUCGUUGCAUUAUGUAGAGCUGUACACAGUGUUAUGCGACAUAGAGUCGGUGAUAAAUCAAAGACCACUUACCUAUGUUUCUGAAGUCGAUGAGUUUGACGUUUUAACCCCAUCAAGUUUUUUAAAGCCAUUACAGGGUAAUUCCGAUGAGGUUGUUGAUUUAGACAUCGUGGAUUCAGAAUUUUUUAAAGGUAGGUUUCGUCAUAUUCAAAAUUUAAGGCAAAUGUUACGCGACAGAUUUAGGAAAGAAUACCUUGCGGAACUAGUAAAUUAUGGUCAAAGAAGAGAAGAUUUUGUGAAGGUUGGUGAUGUAGUAAUGGUUGGUUCCGACAACGCCAAAAGAAUAAACUGGCCAAUGGGCAAAAUCAUUGAAUUAUAUUCUGGGCAAGAUGGCAUCCAAAGGGUCGCAAAAGUAAAGACAAAAAAUGGUGUAUUGGUUCGUCCAUGUCUACGACUAUAUAGAGUUGAACUACCUAUCAAUGAUAUUCAAGAAAAUUUAAGA
rnacentral:lncRNA from 1 species